GCCGGUGUGGCGAAAUGGCAGACGCACGGGACUUAAAAUCCCGAGGCCUUCAACAGCCGUGCGGGUUCGAAUCCCGCCACCGGCACCA
rnacentral:tRNA from 2 species